rnacentral:lncRNA from 1 species
GUUUGGGGAUGUAUUUCAUAUGAAUCACACAUAAGCUGACCCAGGGUAAGCAGAUAUUUUCUUAAUGUUUCUAAUCUUUUGUUUUUAUAUUGCUUUUUGUUUUAGGUUGGCACUCAAGACUUUGCAAGACGAUUUCAUGCAACCUAUGUUUCUUGGGCAAUUGCUUAUCUUCUAGGUCUGAUUUGCCUUAUCCGAGCUUGUUAUUGGGGAGCCAUAAGAGUCAGUUAUCCAGAACACAGUUUUGCAUAAGCUUGCUUAGGAUUCAAUGAUGUGGGUGAGAGGGUCUAGCAGUUCUUGAUAAGCUAUUCUGGACAUCUUUAAAUCGUUUAUCUUAACAGAUUCCGUUCUAGUUUAUGUGUAAUAGUUUCAAGACUUUGGGAGUCUUUUAUGAGUAAAUAAAUGCUCAUUGCACUGCAUUUUAUGCAAAUAGUUUAUUUUGCUGCUAGGUUUUCAAAUUCAGAAUAACAAAACUGUGUUUUAUGUUCUUUUAAAUCAAUUAAAGAUAUUUUUGGAUGUCACCAAAUAUAACAUAAUAUCACUCUAUCUUAUGUUCAAAUCUGUUAUUCCAUUAAUUGCUGAUCUGUAUUUCCAAGAAGUGUUUAUAAAUGUUUUUACAAUUGUUUCACAUUUAUACUUACAUUUUCAUUAAACAGUAUCAAAAUCGCUUGCUUUAAAAUCAAAGCAAUAUGCAUUUUUGCUUGAACUGCUUACAGUAAUUUUAACCUAAGAUUAUAGUGACCUUAUUCAGGAAAAACAUUUGAGUGUACUUUCAAAAACUUGACAUUGUUGUCAGAGAAACAUUUCUAGAUAACCGUAUGUUGUUUUUUGUUGUUUGUAGAAAGAUAUAAUAUUUUGGUAGUAAUUUAAAAUACAAGAAUGAAAAUAUUUAUUUGUUCACAGUUGGAAAUGUUGGAUAAAUGUCUUUUCUCAAAGAUCACGGGAUUUUUUCCCUUUUUUUCCUUUUUAUUUACCAAUUAUAAAAAUCUGGUCUGCAUUUAUGGAAUUUAAUGUUAACACUAUAUGUAUUCCUUUAUAGAGACUGGAGGAAGUAUUUCACAUGACAUUUUAUAAUACUUAAUCAUUUAAUCAAAAAUAUUUACAUUAGUUUGUGCUCCUUUCCAUUAGAUCAUGGUGAAUUUUUCUGGUUGGGAUAAUUAUGUACCACUUAUAUAUGAAAGAAGCCUAUGACAUUUUGCACUAGCUAAAAUGUUAAGAUUAGAGGUACUCUUACCAUUUUUCUCAAAUAUAACUGGAUAAUUACCCAAUUAAUUUAAGAAAAUAGAUCAGAGAUAAAGAGCAACAUAGUUUUCUAAAAAUUCACUAGGACUUAUGGAAUCAGCUCUUGCACUGCCCAUCUUUGCAGUUUUGAAAAAGAAAUUACUUAAUUGAGAAUAUUCAAAGUCUUUCAUGUGAUAGAAUUAGCUAAUGAGAUGAUCUGAGUAAAUUAAUUGGUGAUUCCAGGGAUAAGACUAAUAUUUUAAAUUAUUUAUGUUCCUAAUUAGUAUAAAAAUGUACUCACCAGAGAGUUUGGAGCAAAAUACAUGUAAACUUCAAAGAGUAAAUGAUAAAUGUAUAAAUGCAGUAGCUCAGGAUUAUAUGUACCUUUGAAACUACACUAAUAAAAAUUAUUG